rnacentral:misc_RNA from 1 species
GAAAUGCGAUAAGUAAUGUGAAUUGCAGAAUUCAGUGAAUCAUCGAAUCUUUGAACGCACAUUGCGCCCGCCAGUAUUUUGGCGGGCAUGCCUGUUCGAGCGUCAUUACAACCCUCAGGCCCCCGGGCCUGGCGUUGGGGAUCGGCGGAAGCCCCCUGCGGGCACAACGCCGUCCCCCAAAUACAGUGGCGGUCCCGCCGCAGCUUCCAUUGCGUAGUAGCUAACACCUCGCAACUGGAGAGCGGCGCGGCCACGCCGUAAAACACCCAACUUCUGAAUGUUGACCUCGAAUCAGGUAGGAAUACCCGCUGAACUUAAGC